GACAGAGGUGCCGAGCGUUAGGCGGAAUCACUGGGCUUAAAGCGUGUGUAGGCGGACCCAUAAGUACCUUGUGAAAUCCCACGGCUCAACCGUGGAACUGCUGGGUAUACUGCGGGUCUUGAGCGGCCUAGGGGCAGACGGAACAAGUGGUGGAGCGGUGAAAUGCGUAGAUAUCACUUGGAACGCCGACGGUGAAAACAGUCUGCUGGGGGCCUGCUGACGCUGAGACGCGAAAGCCAGGGGAGCGAACGGG
rnacentral:rRNA from 1 species